rnacentral:lncRNA from 1 species
UACAAUGUUUCCGCCUAACCACGAUUAACCCCGGACAGAGCAGUAGCAUUACAACUAGCCCAUCAUACACGGUGACAAAUCCAGUUUACUACAGGACAAUAUUCUUCAAAAGCAAUACAGCAACAGACGUUUUCUAGUUCCACGUCAACAUUAAGCACACAACGAAUCAACAAUAUUGCCGACUACUUCAAGACUGCCACCUUCUACAGCUGCCCCUACCACUGCACAAGUAACAUCUAAACCGGUCAGCAAACAUCAUUCAACUAUAAAACCAUCCACCGCACCUGUUCUGACUGGACAUACAGAGUUAUGUCCCAGUAACGUCCAAAGAGGAGCGCACAUCAGUGGUUUCUUGUUGGGACAAUAUCAACACAGUUGUUUCGAGGUCUGUAACCAACCCGUGUCAUGGCACCAUGCCGAUUCGCUGUGCAAAGGAAGGGGAGGGCACCUAGCAUCUUUGAAUACUCAUGCCCAAAACAGUUAUCUUCACACGUUCCUGACAAAUCAUUUUCACGAUAAAUCAUUUUGGAUUGGCUUGAAUGACAUACAUCAAGAUGAACACUUCCAGUGGUCUUCAGGCGAGAAAGUGUCUUUUAUGAACUGGGAACAACAUCGAAAGAAUCAGUAUCACUUACGGGAAGACUGUGCAGUCAUACUGAAAGACGGUAAAUGGGACGACAGAGACUGUGGUAGUAAUUUUGCUUUCACAGAGUUUCUACACACCCGGUUUCCAUACGUGUGUGAAUACGGUGUAACUACUGGAGCACCAAUCAUCGGAUAGAAUGGUACACGUGACUGAAUAUAGUAACUGGAUAUUGUUAAUAUUGCUGGAUUUAUUUGGGCAUAUGAAAGUACUACUUAUAUCUUGUUUUUCUUAAAAUCUUUUGUUUUAAAAUUUAAAGUGAACGGACUUGUUUCGCUGGGAGUAGUUUUAAAAGAUGCAACAACGAUGUAGUUAAAUUCUAAUAUGUACGAUAAUAUAUGCUAACUCAGUCAAAAUAGAUUCUUACACCUACUGUGACUUUA